rnacentral:rRNA from 1 species
GACGAACGCUGGCGGCGUGCUUAACACAUGCAAGUCGAACGGAAAGGCCCUGCUUUUGUGGGGUGCUCGAGUGGCGAACGGGUGAGUAACACGUGAGUAACCUGCCCUUGACUUUGGGAUAACUUCAGGAAACUGGGGCUAAUACCGGAUAGCAGCUCCUGCUGCAUGGUGGGGGUUGGAAAGUUUCGGCGGUUGGGGAUGGACUCGCGGCUUAUGAGCUUGUUGGUGGGGUAGUGGCUUACCAAGGCUUUGACGGGUAGCCGGCCUGAGAGGGUGACCGGCCACAUUGGGACUGAGAUACGGCCCAGACUCCUACGGGAGGCAGCAGUGGGGAAUAUUGCACAAUGGGCGGAAGCCUGAUGCAGCAACGCCGCGUGCGGGAUGACGGCCUUCGGGUUGUAAACCGCUUUCGCCUGUGACGAAGCGUGAGUGACGGUAAUGGGUAAAGAAGCACCGGCUAACUACGUG